AGUUGCAUAAGGACCCUGGCUGUGCCUGCUGUGGGGCCCAGUUCUGGCGUUCAGGAGCUCUGCCUGCAGUGGCAUUUCUGCAACCGGAGAGGGAACACCCUUCCCACGGCGCCGCCUCGGUGCAGUGGCUUGGAAGAUAGAACAGCAGCUACCCAAAGAAGCCCACGUCCAAGUUCCAGGAACCAUGACUAUGCUAUGCUACAAGCAGAGGGGAUCCGAGGUUGCUCAUCAGCUGACUUUAAGACAGAAGCCUUGUCCUGGGUGACCUGGGAGCCCAAUCUAAUGACAAAGGAGGCUGCUGUGGUUUGGUAGAACUUGAGUGUCUCCCAUGUGUUAAAGACUCGGUCCUCAGCAUGAUGCUACGAGGAGGUAGUGGAACCUUUUAAGAGGUGGGGCUUAGUGGGAGGUCUUCAGGUCACUGGGAGCAUGCCCUUGAAGGGGACAGCAGGACCCCAGACUCUUUCUCUUCCUCUCUCUUGGCUCCCGGCCAUGGUCAGCAGUUUUGCUCUGAGACAUGCUCCCUGCUAUGCUGUACAGCCUCACCUGGGCAACAGGGCCACUUGAUCCUGGACUGGACCUCUGAAACCACGAGCCAAAAUAAACCUUUUUUCUUUAGUAA